rnacentral:rRNA from 1 species
AUACAGAGGGUGCAAGCGUUAAUCGGAAUUACUGGGCGUAAAGCGCGCGUAGGUGGUUAGUUAAGUUGGAUGUGAAAGCCCUGGGCUCAACCUGGGAAUGGCAUUCAAAACUGGCUGACUAGAGUAUGGUAGAGGGAAGGGGAAUUCCAGGCGUAGCGGUGAAAUGCGUAGAUAUCUGGAGGAACAUCAGUGGCGAAGGCGCCUUCCUGGACUAAUACUGACACUGAGGUGCGAAAGCGUGGGUAGCAAACAGGAUUAGAAACCCUAGUAGUCC